GAUGAACGCUGACCGAAUGCUUAACACAUGCAAGUCAACUUGAACUUCGGUUUGGGUGGCGGACGGGUGAGUAACGCGUAAAGAACUUGCCUCACAGCUAGGGACAACAUUUGGAAACGAAUGCUAAUACCUGAUAUUAUGAUUAUAUGGCAUCGUAUAAUUAUGAAAGCUAUAUGCGCUGUGAGAGAGCUUUGCGUCCCAUUAGCUAGUUGGAGAGGUAACAGCUCACCAAGGCGAUGAUGGGUAGCCGGCCUGAGAGGGUGAUCGGCCACAAGGGGACUGAGACACGGCCCUUACUCCUACGGGAGGCAGCAGUGGGGAAUAUUGGACAAUGGGCCGAGAGUCUGAUCCAGCAAUUCUGUGUGCACGAUGAAGUUUUUCGGAAUGUAAAGUGCUUUCAGUUGGGAAGAAAAAAAUGACGGUACCAACAGAAGAAGUGACGGCUAAAUACGUG
rnacentral:rRNA from 1 species